AGCAGUUGUAGUUGUUGACUCCACUGAGAGGGUACUUUCACUCCCUUCUGACUUGAGUGGAAAAUGAGCAGCCAUUUUCAUGAAGGCAGAACUGCAAUCAAACAAGAUUUAAGAUACUUCUCAUUCAGGGAAUGAUUAGACAAGGAUAAAGAAUUCAGGGGAUAACAGUUAAAUUAAAUGAAUAGGGGAAGAUUUGUGGAAUUGGUGUUUGACAGGAAGGAGGAAGAGGUAGAGGGGAAGUUUUACCCCCCCCCCCCCCCCCCCCCCCCGGCGGUUGAGAUAAUAACUUUUGAACACCCGCUCAUGAGUCAACUUUGAUUUCCACCCUUUUACCUUCUCUCAUGUUGUUACCUCGAAAGAUGGUCUGCUACAUUCUGAGUAAGAAAGACUCCGAUAACAGAGUCCAGAACAGAGCCUUUCCAAGGAGUGAAGCGUCUAUCUCCUGUAUGAAGCAAACGUUUUUUGUUACUUACCAACUUUAUUACUAUGGCUGAAGGCUGAUUAGCAUCAUACAAGAUUAGGUCCCUCUUGUUUGAAGAAUUCUGUUUCCUAGAUUCCCUCUUUGAUCUUGGCUUUGGUGUGC